GAGAGGACUUAAGAAAUCUUAAGAUUAAUUUUCAUCAAAGUAACAAUUCUCAAUCUGUUAAAUAAGUAAGGUUAAGUCCAUAAUAAGGUUGAAGUGUGAAAUCUUAAUUCUGAAAUUGCUUUAGUGAAUUGACUUCUAAAUUUAAGUUUACUGUUUUGUCUUCUUUUAUUCUCAGCAUCCUUAGUUAGUCAAAAAUUAAAAAUCACAACAUAUGCGAUAGCCUGAAUAAUCAAAGUUGCUAUCUAGAUUGGUACUUAUGCCUAUAUAUGGUACUUAUGCCUAUAAAUUUCUCAUGGGAAUGAUACUUUACUCACUACUUUAUUACUUGUUAGCGAUCUGUACACUUGCGGGUUCGUAAACUAGCAAACAAGUGUUUGGCAUCAUUGUCGGGCAAUUUAGUAAUAUUGAGCAAUAGGCAAUUUGCCUGAUUUAGGCUUUUAUUUUUUUUUAAUUUACUUAAUUCAUUUUUACUUUUUAUUCCUUUUUUAGGCCCUCUGUUCAGUUUAUGACCAAGACUAAACCUAAAGAGGAGCUGAUUGAAUUGGAUCCUAAAAUAGAUAAGACUCUUAGAGCCAUCAAGAGAGGAAUGAGACAUCAAGAGCCACAACCAGUAGUUUUUGAAACUCUAGUCAUAGCCAACAACAAUAGGCUAAGACCCUUGAGGGACUAUAGAGCCCCAACUAUCCAAAGAUUCCAAUCCAGCAUUAUCAGGCCUAUAGUGGAGGCCAAUAACUUUGAGCUCAAUCUGGUAUGGCUCUAAAUGAUUCGAUAGACUCAAUUUGAUGGUUUACCUAUCGAAGAUCCACACUAUCACCUUCAGUGUUUUCUUGCUCUAUGCGACACAUUCAAGAUGAAAGGAGACUCUGAUGAAGCUAUUAAACUCAGAGCAUUCCCAUUCUUUCUUAGAGAUAAGGUAAGAAAGUGGCUAUGUAACACCGUCAUUGUAGCAAUUCUGUACAUUC
rnacentral:misc_RNA from 1 species